rnacentral:rRNA from 1 species
AGCAGCCGCGGUAAUUCCAGCUCCAAUAGCGUAUAUUAAAGUUGCUGCAGUUAAAAAGCUCGUAGUUGAAUUUCGGGACCAUCAUGUCGGUCGUGCCUCGGUACGUACUGGCAUCGUCGGUUUCUCCCUUCUGACGAACCAUGAUGUCAUUUAUUUGGUGUUGUGGGGAAUCAGGACUGUUACUUUGAAAAAUUAGAGUGUUUAAAGCAGGCUCACGCUUGAAUACAUUAGCAUGGAAUAAUGAAAUAGGACGUUUGAUUCUAUUUUGUUGGUUUCUAGGAUCGACGUAAUGAUUAAUAGGGAUAGUUGGGGGCAUUAGUAUUCAAUUGUCAGAGGUGAAAUUCUUGGAUUUAUUGAAGACUAACUACUGCGAAAGCAUUUGCCAAGGAUGUUUUCAUUAAUCAAGAACGAAAGUUAGGGGAUCGAAGACGAUCAGAUACCGUCGUAGUC